rnacentral:sRNA from 1 species
AUGGUUCAAUUUCCCGUCCGUUCCGAUGAAGGAAGAGGUUCUGAACCUGUUAAGCAGAUUGGUUAAGUAUCCCCCAGCAGUCCAACAUUUGGUUGACUUUGGUGCAGUAGAGUUCUUAUCUAAGCUUCGGUCUAAUGUGGAGCCAAAUCUGCAGGCUGAAAUUGAUGGCAUUUUGGAUGGACUUUUUAUUCUUCCUUCGGAAGUUCCUGCAGUAUCUUCUGCCUCAUACCAAACCAAUCAAACUGAAUUGUCAAAAAACCGUGAAAUCUUAACAGGAUAUUUUCCCCAAGACAAAAGUAAUUUGCAGCAGAUGGAGGUGCCGCCACGACCAGUGGUAAAUCAGACUGUGAAGUGCUUGAAGUUUUCUAUAUUUCCUUGGCUACCCCUGACCACCACAGACAGACAUGUCCUCUCCUCUAAUGAAAGCUCUUUAAGAAGUAGUAACCACACUUUAAUCUGGAACACCUGUGAACUAUUGAAGGACGUUAUCAUGCAAGAUUUUCCUGCUGAGAUUUUCCUUCAAAGACCAAAAAUUGUUCAGAGCCUUUUAUCUCUGUUGAAACUGGCCUUUGGAGGAGAUGGAAAGCAUCGCCUGGCAUUACAGUCAGUGUCCUGCCUGCAGCAGCUGUGCACGUAUUUAAGAAACAGACUUAACUUUCACCGAGAUCCAGGUUUUUUCUCCAAUAAACAGGACACAGUUUCCCAAAAUUCUUCUUUGUCUUAUUGUCAUGAAGCAAGAGGUACUCAUCAUUCCCAGAAUCCUUCCCCAGGAAGCAGCAGCCCUCGGCCUUCUGUGGUUGGGCGCACAGGCCAGCGACCCAGAGGAGAUGGCCAGGACUGGGAUGCAGCGUCCUCUAGGUGACUGCUAGCAGUGUCUCUGGGGAAAUUAGAAAUGCCGGUUAACUUGUGUGUGUUAAUUUCAGAAGGAGAUAAUUAUUUUUCUGUCCUUUUUUUUUUGAAACAUUAACACAGGUAUAGGCCUUGUGUUAAACCCUGGCUUCAUACUUUUUUUGACCAUGAUCCACAGUAAGGACAGAUAAAUAUUACAUCGCAACUCAGUGCUCAGUACGUGAACAUAUACUCUGUUUAUGUAUAUAUGUGUGUGUAUGUGUCCCCCAAAA